CCAAUAGCGUAUAUUAAAGUUGUUGUGGUUAAAAAGCUCGUAGUUGAACCUUGGGCCUGGCUGGCCGGUCCGCCUCACCGCGUGUACUGGUCCGGCCGGGCCUUUCCCUCUGUGGAACCUCAUGCCCUUCACUGGGUGUGACGGGGAAGCAGGACUUUUACUGUGAAAAAAUUAGAGUGCUCCAAGCAGGCCUAUGCUCGAAUACAUUAGCAUGGAAUAAUAAAAUAGGACGUGCGGUUCUAUUUUGUUGGUUUCUAGGACCGCCGUAAUGAUUAAUAGGGACAGUCGGGGACAUCAGUAUUCAAUUGUCAGAGGUGAAAUUCUUGGAUUUAUUGAAGACUAACUACUGCGAAAGCAUUUGCCAAGGAUGUUUUCAUUAAUCAGGAACGAAAGUUAGGGGAUCGAAGACGAUCAGAUACCGUCGUAGUCUUAACCAUAAACUAUGCCGACCGGCGAUCCGCAGUCGUUAACUGAAUGACUCUGCGGGCAGCCUCCG
rnacentral:misc_RNA from 1 species